rnacentral:lncRNA from 1 species
CUCCUCUUUUGAGGGGAAGAAAUGAAGGCUAAGGAAAAGGGGCCAAGAGCUGAAGUCCCUUCAAGAGGCCAAGAGAUCAAGUUCCCACUAACUCAUCACUCCCGCAUUUUCUAUUUUUGUUUAGAUAUUAUCUUUGUUUAUAUGACAUCAAAUUAUUUUAGCAUUUGGGGAUGAUUAAAUGAAGGUUUUUCUGCAUCACAACUAGUUCAGCACUAUUCACAAUAGCAAAGACUUGGAACCAACCCAAAUGUCCAACAAUGAUAGACUGGAUUAAGAAAAUGUGGCACAUAUACACCAUGGAAUACUAUGCAGCCAUAAAAAAUGAUGAGUUCAUGUCCUUUGUAGGGACAUGGAUGAAAUUGGAAAUCAUCUUUCUCAGUAAACUAUUGCAAGGACAAAAACCGAAACACCACAUGUUCUCACUCAUAGAUGGGAAUUGAACAAUGAGAACACAUGGACACAGAAAGGGGAACAUCACACUCUGGGGACUGUUGUGGGGUGGGGGGAGGGGGGAGGGAUAGCAUUAGGAGAUAUACCU